rnacentral:ncRNA from 1 species
UGGGCUGGUCUCUGACGUCCGUCGCUCAUGGAGCCAGCGAGCGUCACAAUUGCCGCCCUUACGGGCUUCGCGACUGGUUAGAUUAAUGGCUUAGUCGCGUGGACCAUGGGCUCUCUGGGGAGGUUCUAGGCCCAAUGGCUGAACUUUCCCCCUAGGGUUGACGAGAGAAAGGUUGAUCAACUCUGGUAAAAUGAGCAACUACCAGAGGGGGUUCGAGAGCUUCGGCUCGCUAGCAAUGCCCGCCCAUUAGGUGCGCAGUGACGUAUGUCACUCCUAGGGUGUGGUGCCGAACCGGCGGGGGCUCACGUCCCGACUUCGGUCAAAUGUGAAAACGUAUAUCCAGUUCGAGUAGUCUGCUCUCCCCUGAUGGAGGCCAACCUGAACUUAGACGUGAAGUGGGCCCGGUGUCGCUACCCGGCAAGUCUCGUUACGGCGGUUCUCGUCGUUUCGUUGGCGCGUUGGGAAUCAGGGCGGGGCUAAGAGGCCUGUAGCGCCCAAGUUUUCUUUGAGUAGAAUGGUAGCCGCAAGCGUCCGUCGAUGGAACAGGAGCCUGCGAAGCAGGGUGACUUAGCUCGGUUGCUACGGAUCCUUUAACCGGUGUGCUUUUCGCGUGGAAUGGCACAAUACCGGCGUGGUGAUGGCUUCAGAAACUAACCAUUUUUGAAGUAAAAGUACUGCAUUAAUGUUAGCCAAAUGCCUCGUCAUCUAAUUAGUGACGCGCAUGAAUGGAUUAACGAGAUUCCCACUGUCCCUAUCUACUAUCUAGCGAAACCACAGCCAAGGGAACGGGCAUGGCAAAAUCAGCGGGGAAAGAAGACCUUGUUGAGCUUGACUCUAGUCUGACUCUGUGAAAAGACAUGAGAGGUGUAGAAUAAGUUGGAGUAGCAAUACGUCGGUGAAAUACCACUACUCUUAUCGUUUUUUUACUUAUUCGAUGAAGCGGAAGCAAACCGCAAGGUUCAAGUUCUGGAUUUAAGGUCUCUCUUUUGCAGACCGAUCCGUGUCGAAGACACUGUCAGGUUGGGAGUUUGGCUGGGGCGGCACAUCUGUCAAACGAUAACGCAGGUGUCCUAAGGUGAGCUCAAUGAGAACAGAAAUCUCAUGUAGAACAAAAGGGUAAAAGCUCACUUGAUUUUGAUUUUCAGUAUGAAUACAAACUGUGAAAGCAUGGCCUAUCGAUCCUUUAGUCUUUAGGAGUUUUAAGCUAGAGGUGUCAGAAAAGUUACCACAGGGGUAACUGGCUUGUGGCAGCCAAGCGUUCAUAGCGACGUUGCUUUG